rnacentral:rRNA from 1 species
UACGUAGGGUGCGAGCGUUAAUCGGAAUUACUGGGCGUAAAGCGUGCGCAGGCGGUUCGUUGUGUCUGAUGUGAAAGCCCCGGGCUCAACCUGGGAAUGGCAGUGGAUACUGGCGAGCUAGAGUGUGAUAGAGGAUGGUGGAAUUCCCGGUGUAGCGGUGAAAUGCGUAGAGAUCGGGAGGAACAUCAGUGGCGAAGGCGGCCAUCUGGAUCAACACUGACGCUGAGGCACGAAAGCGUGGGGAGCAAACAGG